rnacentral:pre_miRNA from 1 species
UCUUAUGAAUGAUCAAAGGAAGUGAUUUUUUGAGAUGGGAACUACUCCUUGUGAAGAUGCUAUGAU